UACGGGGGGGGCAAGCGUUGUUCGGAAUUACUGGGCGUAAAGGGCUUGUAGGUGGCCAACUAAGUCAGACGUGAAAUCCCUCGGCUUAACCGGGGAACUGCGUCUGAUACUGGAUGGCUUGAGUGUGGGAGAGGGAUGCGGAAUUCCAGGUGUAGCGGUGAAAUGCGUAGAUAUCAGGAGGAAUACCGGUGGCGAAAGCGACUCUCUGGACGGCAACUGACGCUGAGGCACGAAAGCGUGGGGAGCAAACAGG
rnacentral:rRNA from 1 species